GCAGUGGUGGUGAAGUGGUAGAAUUCUUGCCUUCCAUGCAGGAGACCGGAGUUCAAUUCCCUGCCAAUGCA
rnacentral:tRNA from 1 species